CAGAGCUAAAAUGUUUCCUCAUGAAAACGGCCGAUGGCAAAGCGGGUUGGAGACUCAUUCCUAGAAUCCUAGCGCCCAAGUGGCUGACCUCGGAAGGGAUGUUUGAAGGAAACUCGGGCUACAUGUUGAGUUCCAGUCAGAGUGCUACCGGAUGAGAUCCUGUAUCAAAACCAAAACCAACCAAGCAAAGUCGAAAGGCUGUUUGUAAACCAUCAAUUCUGCACAGCCAGCUUGGUUCAUUUAUUUCCCAUGUUCUGGAGAGCCCUGAUGAGGUGGCCAGCACUGACUCAGCGGAGCCGGACCUUCACUUGGGUCCAGUUCUCGGCAGCUGCUGGAGCUCCACGCUUGCCUACAGCGAUGCGCCAGCUGUCUCCGCCUGCAUCGCGCCGCAGUAAUGCGAACAACUGGAAGCAAUAAUGUGUCUCCCCAUUUGCCUAACAAUCCCAACAUGGACAAUAACUCAGAAGACUGAAGAUUUGUGCUGUAAUUUAAUAAACCCCAUGCACAUUUCCACAAUUGAGUAUCACAUCUGUGCAAUGGAUCCUGCAAGUAUAAUAUUCUUUUAUAAGAGACCAUUAACCAAUCUUAAGUUUAUAGGUUUCCUUAAAUCUUUUUCAUCAGCUGUUAAACUACAGUAAAGAGAAAAUUGCCUCUUAUGAGACAAGGGAUAGUAAAAUACAAAGACUGUGAUUAAACGUCAAUCAAUUAAGGAUGAUAAUAUAAUAAAAUGCUGACUGAUGAUUAAGAUGAGGGUUUUCUAGGAGAAUUUUGUAACCAAUAUUAUGAAUAUUUUUAGAAGGUACUAGAAUAAACUUCAAUUAGAUCAGUUUA